AAUAUUAUGUACUACAAAUAUAUUAGAUAUUAACUUACAACUCCUCAUAAUUGGAGCCCUCUGUUUCAGGUUCCCAGUCAUGGUCAUCCACAUCACAUUUCUAAAAACCAAUCCUUGUCCAGGCAAGUUGUCAGGAUUGUGGGUAUAUAUUCAGGGCAGAAGACGAAUUUCUUCUUUUAAGGCUUGUGAAACAGUUGCGACAAAAGUCACAAUUGAGAGUUUUUUCUCCUUUUGCAGCCAUUUUAAUCUUAUUACGUAUACAUCUUGCCUUCCAAUAGGUAGGCAAAUUUACCUAGGUUACUUUUGAAACUUUUUAUCUACAUCUUUCAAACCACAACAAAGUAAGGUUCACAUUUUAACUUCUAAUGAAUGUUUUUAUCAUAUAUACAUCACUUUGUUUUCUUUUACAAACUCUCCCUAGUUAACCACUUGCCAUGUGAUUGUUCCUAAAUAUUUCAGAGAAAAAUGAGACAUAAAAGGGUUUGUCCAGAAACAGAAGCUUUGCAUUUCACUUCUUCUGGGAGGGAUAAAGACACAUUUUACAAAAGAUUCAUCAACAAGGAGAAAGGACCAACUCCAUUCAUCGCAUAGCAGUCCACAACUACCAGAAAAGAUCUCACAGACAUCUCACAGAGUGUUAUCUGUGUUUACCCAGAAAUGACUGACACUCACCUGAGUCACAUUCCAGAGGAAUUAUGCAUUGGUGAAAUGAUCCAGUCAGAGCAGAAAAAUGUUCCAGGAGAACAAACAGAACAACACCAUGAAGUAAAAAACCAAGGACAAGAUACACAUACAGACAUACUCUGUUCAUCACAUACCAGUACACAAACAACAGAUGAGAUGGAUAACUUAGAGAGUAUACUCAGUAUUCACCAAGAAAUGACUGGCACUAACCUGAGGGAUGAGUAUUUAUAAACAUGUUGCAGCUCAAGAGGAGUAUUGCGACUCAGAUGCAGAUGUCCAGUCUGUGCAGAGUACUACCACAUGUCAAGAAGGCAAGAUCUUAGGUUGCAUGCAGUGUAUAACACUAACAAUGUAAAUUACUUUAUUCAACUAUAAAAA